GGAAGCGCUCUCCAGCAGUGUCAGUCUGGAGCUCGAAACAGCGUUGACAUUUAGCUUCCUAUCAAAUGGCAAAUAAUAUUGCAACUGUUUUUGAAAGUCUGAAAGUCGAAAUAGAGCCCCCGUGUCGUUAGUGAUAUUGCUAAUAUUUUAGUGCACCUGUAAGGAAACGGGUGGUAAAAUUGAUUGCAAUAAUGUAUCCUGGGAAAGUUUGGGACAGGAGAGAAGGUGAAAAAAAGUUACACACUGAACUCCCAGAAGUCUCCAUCAUCUUCAAGUUACGAUGUCAACAAAUACUGACCUUGCAGAGGGCAGAGCUCUGGCUAAGUAAGGACCUCUCCAUGUGGUGUCCUCACACAGCCUCUCCAGCAUGACAGCCUCAGGAUAGCUGGUCUUAUCAUAUGGCAAGUGGUCCAAGAACGAGUGUUGCAAGAGACCCGAGCAGAAGCUGAAUAGCUUCUUCUUUAUUACCCAACUCUGAGAAUCCGAGAACACCACUUCUACCACAUUUUAUUGGUUAAGCAAGUCACUAAGGCCAGCCCAUAUCCAAGCUGCAUAGAGGGGAGACGGUAGUUCCAGGAUGCAUCAACCUUGACAAUCAGCAACUUCCACCCCAGUGCUACUGCUGCAACUCCUCUUCAUGGUAUUCCCCAACACCGAGCCUCCUUCUCACUAGAAGAAGCCUUCUCUAAGGGUAGAAAAUGAUGAUACAUUUUUCUUGUCGUCCUUCAGUGGCAGCUCUGUUCUGCCAAUAUUUUUUGAAGCCUGCACAUAAAUAUCAUUUAGUGUUUCCAAAAAGGUACGUUUCUAACAACAGUAUUUUGGACAUCCACAGAUAGUCUUUUGGGAGAAACAGUUUGAGAAAUGAA